UUAUGCCCUUGGGGGAAUCCCCGCGGCCAUCUUUGCCGUCGGUCAAAACAAUUAGCCAAGCAAGGGAAGUUGGCAACGUAAACCCCUCAGCCCUCGUUUGUGAUCGAGUGUACAAUUCUGUUCACUCCGGGGCCUGAAACACCCCAUAAUUCAAUUCGCGAUUAUUGUACAUCCGCUAAGAAAGGUCUGCCAAAACUUAAAACCAACAUCAAUAUGGAGACGUCAACAUACAAGUCCUGUGCAGGCGGUCAGCCAGAGUUUCUGGGAGUGCAAGCAGUACUGGAGGUACGAGCUCAGAAACAUAGCCAUGAUCAGCUGGCAAAUUCAGCACCUGCCUGAGCUGGAGCAACUCUGCCUGGCUGACUGGCAUAUGGAGGUGGAGCGCAGGGUUCACUAUUAUAGUGUGACAGUGAGAGAGACCCAGGGCAGCCUCAUCAGAGAGAUCCGAGAGAGCGAGGAGUGGAGAAAGUAUUGGGAGUGUGACAACUGAAUGGACUGUACCCACUGAAAGUUCCGCUACCACAACAGCACGUGCCUGAGCAGGUGAAACGCUGUCUGUUCCACAAGAACAUGGAGAUUACGCUCAAGAUUACGUUUUACAGGAGAGUGAGGAGGGAAUUCUGUGAGGAUGCCGCUUUACAAGUCUUUUCUGAUGAAGAAACUGGAAGUCUAUUCAGGGUUUUUGGAGUUGGCUGCUGAGAUGGCUUUCUGUGAAUCUCUGAUUUAUUUUGUAAAAGUAAUAGUAAAAUAGGAUUGGUCGGUAUAGUAAGUUUGAUUGUAAGUUGUCUUUUUUUAUAACAAUACAAAUGAAUCAUAUUUUAAGUA